rnacentral:lncRNA from 1 species
CUGCAAGUGAAAUAUUAACAUGAACAAUUACCAGAUUUUCAGAAAGAUUGAAACUAAAAGACGAUGCUAUGCCGACUAUAUUGGAUCCGACAGUAAUGUCGCACCACACAAGUGUCUGCUUUGGCAUAUCAAGUAAUCUGCUCCAGGGACCAAUGCUGUCAUAUCCGACAAGCUGAAGACUCUGGCCCCACGGUGCUUAGUUAAGCAAAGCAUACAGGAAGGGAUGAAAAGAAAGAACAACAUUCUUUACUUCAUACCGCACACUGAGG